AACGCACGAGACCUGCGGACCUGCGGAGGGAUCAUUACCGAGUUUACAACUCCCAAACCCAUGUGAACAUACCUACUGUUGCUUCGGCGGGAUUGCCCCGGGCGCCUCGUGUGCCCCGGAUCAGGCGCCCGCCUAGGAAACUUAACUCUUGUUUUAUUUUGGAAUCUUCUGAGUAGUUUUUACAAAUAAAUAAAAACUUUUAACAAUGGAUCUCU
rnacentral:misc_RNA from 1 species